AACAAAAAAGAUGAACACAGGAACGAAAAUGAUUUACUCUUUUUCUUCAUCGUUCCGCCUGCUCUUUUUUCACUUUUCUUGUGUCUCUGGGUAUUAGUCAAGUGUUUACGACUCGCCCCUUUCAAACAGACUUUUCUCGUUUU
ensembl:ncRNA F37D6.7 ncRNA